UACGUAGGGUGCAAGCGUUGUCCGGAAUUAUUGGGCGUAAAGAGCUCGUAGGCGGUGAGUAGCGUCGGCCUUGAAAACCUGCAGCUUAACUGUGGGCUUGCGGUCGAUACGGGCAUCACUGGAGUUCGGCAGGGGAGACUGGAAUUCCUGGUGUAGCGGUGAAAUGCGCAGAUAUCAGGAGGAACACCGGUGGCGAAGGCGGGUCUCUGGGCCGAUACUGACGCUGAGGAGCGAAAGCGUGGGGAGCAAACAGG
rnacentral:rRNA from 1 species